ACAGGUAUUCCCAAACUCAC
rnacentral:misc_RNA from 1 species